AACGAACGCUGGCGGCAUGCUUCAGACAUGCAAGUCGAACGAGAUCUUCGGAUCUAGUGGCGCACGGGUGAGUAACGCGUGGGAACCUACCUUUCAGUUCGGGAUAACAGUUGGAAACGACUGCUAAUACCGUAUACGCCCUCCGGGGGAAAGGUCAGCCGCUGAAAGAGGGGCCCGCGUCUGAUUAGCUUGUUGGUAGGGUAAAAGCCUACCAAGGCUACGAUCAGUAGCUGGUCUGAGAGGAUGAUCAGCCACACUGGGACUGAGACACGGCCCAGACUCCUACGGGAGGCAGCAGUCGGGAAUAUUGGACAAUGGAGGAAACUCUGAUCCAGCAAUGCCGCGUGUGUGAUGAAGGCCCUAGGGUUGUAAAGCACUUUCAACGGUGAAGAUGAUGACGGUAGCCGUAGAAGAAGCCCCGGCUAACUUCGUGCCAGCCGCCGCCGUAACAC
rnacentral:rRNA from 1 species